GUUAAUCUGCUCCUUGUGUGUCUCUGCUCUCCCCUCCAGCUGGCUCCAUGGUCAGGCCCUCAGUCUCUCUGCUUCCCCCCUCCUCUGAGCAGCUCUCUGGGGGCUCGGCCACGCUGGCCUGCCUGCUGAGCGGCUACGCUCCUCAGGGAGCCGUGGUGAGCUGGGAGGUGGACGGUACAGAGGUGACAGAGGGGGUCCUGAGCAGCUCAGAGGAGGAGAAGAGCGGACGCUACAGCAGCAGCAGCACCCUGAGCCUGAGCCAGGAGCGCUGGAUGAAAGGAGAGCUGUACUCCUGCAGGGUCCUCCAUCAUGACCACAGCCAGAUCCAGUCCCUCCGCAGGAGCAAGUGUUAGGUGUAGAGGGGCUGGCUGAAGACCAGGACAGGAGCUGUGUGUGGGGGGAGCAGGAGGAACACACCUGCUG